AAUAGAUACCCAGGUAGUCCACGCCGUAAACGAUGGAUGCUAGCUGUUAGAGGUAUCGACCCCUCUAGUAGCGAAGCUAACGCGUUAAGCAUCCCGCCUGUGGAGUACGGUCGCAAGACUAAAACAUAAAGGAAUUGACGGGGGACCCGCACAAGCGGUGGAGCGUGUUGUUUAAUUCGAUGGUAAACGAAGAACCUUACCCAGGCUUGACAUCCUUGGAAUUUCUCCGAAAGGAGACUGUGCCUUGUGAACCAAGUGACAGGUGAUGCAUGGCCGUCGUCAGCUCGUGUCGUGAGAUGUUUGGUUAAGUCCAUCAACGAGCGCAACCCUUAUAGUUAGUUGGAUUUUUCUAGCUAGACUGCCCUGGCAACAGGGAGGAAGGAGGGGAUGAUGUCAGGUCAGUAUUUCCCUUACAUCUGGGGCUAGAAACACGCUACAAUGGCCGGUACAAAGGGCAGCCAAGUCGCGAGACGGAGCAAACUCCCAUCAAAGCCGGUCCCAGUUCGGAUAGUAGGCUGAAACUCGCCUGCUUGAAGUCGG
rnacentral:rRNA from 1 species